rnacentral:rRNA from 1 species
GACGAACGCUGGCGGCGUGCUUAACACAUGCAAGUCGAACGGAAAGGCCCUGCUUUUGUGGGGUGCUCGAGUGGCGAACGAGUGAGUAACACGUGAGUAACCUGCCCUUGACUUUGGGAUAACUUCAGGAAACUGGGGCUAAUACCGGAUAGGAGCUCCUGCUGCAUGGUGGGGGUUGGAAAGUUUCGGCGGUUGGGGAUGGACUCGCGGCUUAUCAGCUUGUUGGUGGGGUAGUGGCUUACCAAGGCUUUGACGGGUAGCCGGCCUGAGAGGGUGACCGGCCACAUUGGGACUGAGAUACGGCCCAGACUCCUACGGGAGGCAGCAGUGGGGAAUAUUGCACAAUGGGCGGAAGCCUGAUGCAGCAACGCCGCGUGCGGGAUGACGGCCUUCGGGUUGCAAACCGCUUUCGCCUGUGACGAAGCGUGAGUGACGGUAAUGGGUAAAGAAGCACCGGCUAACUACGUG